rnacentral:rRNA from 1 species
UCGAGGAUCUUCGGCAAUGGGCGCAAGCCUGACCGAGCGACGCCGCGUGAGCGAUGAAGGCCUUCGGGUUGUAAAGCUCUGUCGGGGGGGAGAAAACCGCAAGGUUGAUCUAUCUCCGGAGGAAGCACGGGCUAAGUUCGUGCCAGCAGCCGCGGUAAGACGAACCGUGCGAACGUUGUUCGGAAUCACUGGGCUUAAAGGGCGCGUAGGCGGGCAGUCAAGUCCGGGGUGAAAUCUUUCGGCUCAACCGGAAAAGUGCCUUGGAUACUGACUGUCUCGAGGGAGGUAGGGGUAUGUGGAACUUCCGGUGGAGCGGUGAAAUGCGUUGAUAUCGGAAGGAACGCCGGUGGCGAAAGCGACGUACUGGACCUCUUCUGACGCUGAGGCGCGAAAGCCAGGGGAGCGAACGGGAUUAGAUACCCCCGUAGUCC